rnacentral:rRNA from 1 species
UACGUAGGUGGCAAGCGUUGUCCGGAAUUACUGGGUGUAAAGCGCGUGUAGGCGGGAGGCCAAGUCUGCUGUGAAAUCGCCCGGCUCAACUGGGCGGGGUCGGUGGAAACUGGUCACCUGGAGGACGGUAGAGGCGAGUGGAAUUCCCGGUGUAGUGGUGAAAUGCGUAGAGAUCGGGAGGAACACCAGUGGCGAAGGCGGCUCGCUGGGCCGGCCCUGACGCUGAGACGCGAAGGCGUGGGAGCGAAGCGGAUGAGA